ACUAUUGGACUGUUCCUGUUACUAGGGAGAAGAAUCUAAUCCAUUCUAUUCAGGACAACUACUAUGCAGCCCUGGCGCAGGACAGGUUGAACAUUGGAUCUCACUACUCACUUAGCUCCAAUCUCCAACUAUGAAUGAUAUGAGAGAGAAAGUGGAUAGCUCGAUGGCAGGUGAAAAAAGGCUCGCUCUUAGAACUCAGAGUAACCUUCCUUGAAACACUGCCACCACUAAGCUGGUAAUAUGCGAUCAAUGAAGAAACAGAAAACAUUCUUCAAAAUACUCUUGGUGCAGGAAGAGUUAAGACAGGAAGUGGUGAAAAUAAAGGACCUACUGAGGCACAGGAAACACCAUAUUGGAAAGAGUCUACAGACAUUUCCUGGAUUCCUAGCAAGACUGAAAACUCAGAACAUUUGGAAAGCUAUGAUGGAUCACCUCUCGAAAAAUCUGGAAUGUCAGCUUCUGCAGAUAUGCACUGGAGCAGCACAUAUGGUAGCAGGGAAAGAAGAUUUAAACUUAGUUGGGACAAAAAUACUUUGGCUUUUCACUAACCUACAUUUAGACUUUCCUCUUUCUGCAGAAUCUGUUUCUUCUUAGACUUAAACAUAAUGCUACAUUCUGAUUACAACUGAU